UGAGCAAUCUGCCCUUCUCAUCGGAAUAAGCGUUGGAAACGACGUCUAAUGCCGAAUACGACCUCCUUUCGCAUGAUCGGAGGUGGAAAGCUCCGGCGGAGAAGGAUGAGCUCGCGGCCUAUCAGCUAGUUAGUGUGGGUAAUGGCCCACCAAGGCGACGACGGGUAGCCGGCCUGAGAGGGUGAUCGGCCACAUUGGAACUGAGACACGGUCCAGACCUCCGUAGGGAG
rnacentral:rRNA from 1 species